AGAGUUUGAUCCUGGCUCAGGAUGAACGCUGGCGGCGUGCUUAACACAUGCAAGUCGAACGGAGUUAUUUCAAUUGCAGAUUGACGGAGCUUGCUCCAGAUUGAAGCGCCCGAGAUAACUUAGUGGCGGACGGGUGAGUAACGCGUGGGUAACCUGCCUAUCACAGGGGGAUAACGAUUAGAAAUGAUCGCUAAUACCGCAUAAGCGCACAAGGUCGCAUGACCAAGGGCGAAAAACUGAGGUGGUGAUAGAUGGACCCGCGUCUGAUUAGCUAGUUGGUGAGGUAACGGCUCACCAAGGCGACGAUCAGUAGCCGAACUGAGAGGUUGACCGGCCACAUUGGGACUGAGACACGGCCCAAACUCCUACGGGAGGCAGCAGUGGGGAAUAUUGCACAAUGGGGGAAACCCUGAUGCAGCGACGCCGCGUGAGUGACGAAGUAUUUCGGUACGUAAAGCUCUAUCAGCAGGGAAGAAAAUGACGGUACCUGACUAAGAAGCCCCGGCUAACUACGUGCCAGCAGCCGCGGUAAUACGUAGGGGGCAAGCGUUAUCCGGAUUUACUGGGUGUAAAGGGAGCGUAGGUGGUAUGGUAAGUCAGAAGUGAAAACUCAGGGCUCGACCCUGGGAUUGCUUUUGAAACUAUCAAACUAGAGUGCAGGAGGGGUAAGCGGAAUUCCUAGUGUAGCGGUGAAAUGCGUAGAUAUUAGGAAGAACACCAGCGGCGAAGGCGGCUUACUGGACUGUAACUGACACUGAGGCUCGAAAGCGUGGGGAGCAAACAGGAUUAGAUACCCUGGUAGUCCACGCCGUAAAUGAUGAAUACUAGCUGUUGGGAGGCAUAGCCUUUCAGUGGCGCAGUUAACGCAUUAAGUAUUCUACCUGGGGAGUACGUUCGCAAGAAUGAAACUCAAAGGAAUUGACGGGGACCCGCACAAGCGGUGGAGCAUGUGGUUUAAUUCGACGCAACGCGAAGAACCUUACCAGACCUUGACAUCCCUCUGACAGAAUGUGUAAUGCAUUUUCCUUCGGGCAGAGGAGACAGGUGGUGCAUGGUUGUCGUCAGCUCGUGUCGUGAGAUGUUGGGUUAAGUCCCGCAACGAGCGCAACCCUUGCCCUUAGUAGCCAGCAGGUAAAGCUGGGCACUCUAGGGGGACUGCCGGAGAUAAUCCGGAGGAAGGUGGGGAUGACGUCAAAUCAUCAUGCCCCUUACGGUCUGGGCUACACACGUGCUACAAUGGCAGUUACAAACUGAAGCGAACCUGCGAGGGGGAGCAAACCAGAAAAAGGCUGUCCCAGUUCGGACUGUAGUCUGCAACUCGCCUACACGAAGCUGGAAUCGCUAGUAAUCGCGGAUCAGCAUGCCACGGUGAAUAAGUUCCCGGGCCUUGCACUCACCGCCCGUCA
rnacentral:rRNA from 1 species